GGAAGCGGGACCUUAUUUGGAAAAGAUUUCAGUGAGUCUAUGAUCUGUCAACCUGAGUUAGCGGGGACUGAGUCUCGUGAAGAACCAGAUCCUGAUAAUAUGGAUAUUAUGGAAAGCAGGGGUCAAGCAAGGAAUAAUGUGGACGAACCUGAUCCUGAUGACUUGGAUGCAAAAGCAGAUAAUUUAGGAUAUGGUUCAUAUGGAAAUAUUAUAAGACCUAAACACGACAAUUCUUUGGUUACUGAAACCAUCAAACAUGAAGACAAUCCAAGGAAGGCUUAUUAUGAACCUGAUCCUGAUGAUUCUCAUUCAAAUGGUGUCACUCAGGCAGAUCCUGAUCCUGAUGCUAAUUUGGUGCAUCCACAGGAUACAUCCAGAAUGCAGAUUGAUGAACCCGAUCCAGAUGAUCAAGAAUUUCAGAGAAUUCAAGACCCUGUUACAAUUUUUUGUAAACGCUUGCAGG
rnacentral:lncRNA from 1 species